UGCGUAGGUGGUUUGUUAAGUCUGAUGUGAAAGCCCUGGGCUCAACCUGGGAAUUGCACUGGAUACUGGCAGGCUAGAGUGCGGUAGAGGAUGGCGGAAUUCCUGGUGUAGCAGUGAAAUGCGUAGAGAUCAGGAGGAACAUCCGUGGCGAAGGCGGCCAUCUGGACCAGCACUGACACUGAGGCACGAAAGCGUGGGGAGCAAACA
rnacentral:rRNA from 1 species